CUAUCUUCACUGAUGCAACACAACUCACUCGGCACAACAUGGGGAAUGAACCACUGACGCUGCCCUUUGCACCCCAUUGCCACCCCCUCAUUCCUGUCGAGCGAGGCUGUGUUGCAGAUCUGUAAGAGCAGAUAUGGUGGCUUCCAAGCUCUGCUCUGUAGAGUUGGCUGCCAGCCCCAAGGCCUCCAGGGCCUGGCUCCGACUCUCGGACCCAGUCAUUUGGGACAGCAGGGCCAGAGCUGAUGCCAGGCCCAAGGGUGAGAACAAGAUGUUGUGCUGUAUCUGGGUACCGGGCUUGGAAUUGGCUUUGGUGGCAAGGUCACGAGGCCUGCUGAAGACUUUCUCAGACUCUGGUAGAACCGACCCAUCUGCUCUGACACCCGUUAGCAAUGCCAUCACUGUAAUACAUGUAAAACGAUACAGAACGGACAUCAUCGCAGUUUUCGCUCACCAUCCUUCCUCAAUUCAGAGACGCUGCAGGUUGAUCUCUAAAAAGACCGGCCAAACUCCAGCUUUGGGGAAGUGUUGUUCUCGUGGAUAUGUGUGGGGGUGGUGGCGGUGUUGAAAGUGUAUCGAUCUUUGGGGCUGAGCUUUUGACCCGUAGUUUUAGCUCUGAGCAAACAAUGCCGGCAUGUUUUUUUGGUUUCUUAGAAUUUCAGCAGCAAAGAGUGUGUGUGUGUGUGUGUGUGUGUGUGUGUGUGUGUGUGUGUGUGUGUGUGUAUGUGUGUGUGUGUGUGUGUGUGUGUGUGUGUGUGUGUGUGUGUGUGUGUGUGUGUGUGUGUGUGUGUGUGUGUGUGUGUGUGUGUGUGUGUGUGUGUGUGUGUGUGUGUGUGUG